rnacentral:rRNA from 1 species
GUGUCAGCAGCCGCGGUAAUACGUAGGGGGCGAGCGUUAUCCGGAAUUAUUGGGCGUAAAGCGCCCGCAGGCGGUCUUUUAAGUUUGAGGCGACAAUCACCGGCUUAACCGGUGAACGAUCUCAAAAACUGGCAGACUUGAGAGCGAGAGAGGGACCCGGAACUCCGGGUGGAGUGGUGAAAUGCGUAGAUAUCCGGAAGAACACCAAUGGCGAAGGCAGGGUCCUGGCUCGUUUCUGACGCUGAGGGGCGAAAGCCAGGGGAGCGAACGGGAGUAGAUACCCCGGUAGUCCUGGCCGUAAACGAUGACCACCAGAUGCAUGAAGAUUCGACCCUUUGUGUAUCCAAGCUAACGCGCUAAGUGGUCCGCCUGGGGAGUACGGUCGCAAGGCUAAA